CCCUUAGAUGUCCGGGGCCGCACGCGCGCUACACUGAAGGAAUCAGCGUGGCUUUCUCCCUGACCCGAAAGGGUUGGGAAACCCGUUGAAUCUCCUUCGUGAUAGGUAUUGGGGCUUGAAAUUGUUCCCCAUGAACGAGGAAUUCCCAGUAAGCGCGAGUCAUAAGCUCGCGUUGAUUACGUCCCUGCCCUUUGUACACACCGCCCGUCGCUACUACCGAUUGAACGGUUUAGUGAGGGCCUCGGAUUGGUCUCGGCCCGCUCUUUACCGGGCGGCGCCGUUGGUCGAGAAGACGCUCGAACUUGAUCGUUUAGAGGAAGUAAAAGUCGUAACA
rnacentral:rRNA from 1 species